UCAAACUAGUGAACAACAAUACACAAGAAACCCACUCGCCACCCAAGAACGAUACAUGACCUAUCAUACAAGAAUUAAUUUGAAUAUCCAUUCUAUACAAAAUUAGUGAGGCAUAAAAAACCAUUUGUAAACACCUCAACUUCAGGCAUUCGAGAUCCUUGCCCCAUCUCCUCUCUAUUUUCUAAAUAAUGGAACCAAUGGAUAAUGCCUUGACAUGCAUCCCAAAUGGAAAAUGCCUAACCA
rnacentral:misc_RNA from 1 species